rnacentral:rRNA from 1 species
UACGUAGGGUGCGAGCGUUGUCCGGAAUUACUGGGCGUAAAGAGCUCGUAGGCGGUUUGUCGCGUCUGCUGUGAAAAUCCGGGGCUCAACCCCGGACUUGCAGUGGGUACGGGCAGACUAGAGUGUGGUAGGGGAGACUGGAAUUCCUGGUGUAGCGGUGAAAUGCGCAGAUAUCAGGAGGAACACCGAUGGCGAAGGCAGGUCUCUGGGCAGUUACUGACGCUGAGGAGCGAAAGCAUGGGUAGCGAACAGGAUUAGAUACCCGU